GACGAACGCUGGCGGCGUGCUUAACACAUGCAAGUCGAACGGAAAGGCCCUGCUUUUGUGGGGUGCUCGAGUGGCGAACGGGUGAGUAACACGUGAGUAACCUGCCCUUGACUUUGGGAUAACUUCAGGAAACUGGGGCUAAUACCGGAUAGGAGCUCCUGCUGCAUGGUGGGGGUUGGAAAGUUUCGGCGGUUGGGGAUGGACUCGCGGCUUAUCAGCUUGUUGGUGGGGUAGUGGCUUACCAAGGCUUUGACGGGUAGCCGGCCUGAGAGGGUGACCGGCCACAUUGGGACUGGGAUACGGCCAAGACUCCUACGGGAGGCAGCAGUGGGGAAUAUUGCACAAUGGGCGGAAGCCUGAUGCAGCAACGCCGCGUGCGGGAUGACGGCCUUCGGGUUGUAAACCGCUUUCGCCGGUGACGAAGCGUGAGUGACGGUAAUGGGUAAAGAAGCACCGGCUAACUACGUG
rnacentral:rRNA from 1 species